UUUCCCUUAAUAUAAGAACAGUCACAUGGCUGCCUUUCAAGGAAUAAUAACAGCAAUUAAUCUCGUAGUGCAUUCAUGUGGUAAGAUUGAAAUCUUUAUAAAUUACACAGUAAAGAUAUUUUAGCAUCAAAUAUCCUUUUAAGUCCAGCAGUAUUUUUCAAGACAUUUACAAAGUUAAUAUUUGACAUUAUGUUUGUGGUGAUAUUAAUAACAUAAAAGUGAUGCAAUUAUAAGGUUAACCAAUAAACCAAUAAAAUAAGGCGUAUAAAAUACAGCACCAAAGCAAGCCCCUUCAAAACAACUAAUCAAACAACUCUUCCUUUUCAACAUCUGCUAUUCUUGCUUCCCUUAAGCAAAAAACUUUGUGAGUAAGAAAAGAAAAACUGUUGUAAUAUGAUGUUACUACCGAAAGCUGUAGGGUAUUAGGACUGCUUAAAAUAGUUACUAUUAUACUGUAAUUAAUAUUGUGAUUGUGUUGAAACAUGAUACUGAUUUUAAAAAUAGCUUUUUAACUAACCUGUCAUUAUUUAACAUUGUAUGCAUGUAUUUCUAUAUCAUUGACUUUAAAUAAUUUGAAUAGUUUGAAAGCCUUAUUUAAAUGUGUAGCUUUUACUCCACGUUUUCCAUGUUGGUAAUCUCUGAUUUUUGUUAAAGUUGAGCAUUCCUGGUAUCCCUAAUAUUCAAUAUGUAUUGACACUGUGACCUUUAAUAUGCACUUCAACAGAUAUUUUUGUGGGUUUUCAUGACUGUUGUUACUCUGUGUGUGCAGGUAAAAUGUUUAACUUGGAAAGUUUAAUAAGUACCUCUUAAGUCUGUUUUUUGACAAGCUCAUGGUCAAGAAUUCCAGUCCAAAACCAAACUCUGAACCAUUUUAAAGCAAAUAGUAUAGUAUAUUGUUUUCAAGUACAGUAUAUUGUUUUCAUGUAAACCUGAAACCCGUUGGAAAGAUCCAUCAGUGCCAUAGAAUUGGCUGGGGGAGCCCUGCUCCUAACAAAUACCCAGGUUCAGAACCCCCAAAGCCGCUAAAUGAAAAUGGCAUUCCUGGAUAUCAUUUUUACUGAGUAACUGUGGCAUCCUGGGAACAGAAUAGUAUUUUUAAAACCCCAUGUUGCUAGCUUAUGAACUGAAGUUUUCUUUGCAUUUCCAGCUUUUUUUUUCAUUUUAUCAGUUUGGUAAAAUAUCUGUUUGCUCUUUAUCAGCAUUAACAGUUGCACUGCAGUCACUGGACUGAUGCUGAAUUAUUUUUUUGCAGUAUUUCGAUGUAUUAAAUCUGUAACUAGGUAUAUACAGUAGAUACUAACUUGAAGUAUUUGUGUUCUGGUGACAGCUGAAGGCAAAUAUUCCUAGUUUAGUUAUAUUUGCUGAAAAGCAGAGACAGCAAAGUAGUAAAGCUGGGAACAAUAUUAUUGUAUGUUAUUGUAUAGAUUUCCUACACUUGGAAGAAAAUAUAGACCUGGUACAACCACCUUAAAACAGUCCAUACUCUGAUCCUUUCCCUGCAGUUCUGCUUUUUUGAUGUCAUUUUUAGACUUGGAUCAUUCAAGAAAUAGAGCCAUGCUGUCCAUGUAGUCAUUUCCUCUGUUUUAUUUAUUGUUGGAUGGAAGUCCAAGCAAAACUUUGAUUCCUGUUUCAGCAGUGACCAUCAGUUUUUGGUGAGAUACAUUCUUAAUGUCAGAAAAGUGGCCACUUGUAAUAUUCAAAAUGCUUUCACAGACAUAGGAAAACAAAAAAGUUACUUGGCAAUUGCAUAAGGAUUUGUUUAUGUCUUAGUAGAAAGGUUGUUAUGUAUUGACCAGAAAAGCUCAUUCCUUCCUUUCUAUUAACUGUAAUCUAACACCCCAGCAAUAAAUAUGUCCUCAGUCAAUAGGUUCAGUGCCUCUGCAACGCUUCAUCCUUGAGACCUGCUGCAAUUCUUCUAAGUCAAAAUCACAAAUCAAGGUCUUUUUCUACCCCAGGUUGUGGUGCUCAAUUUCACUGAUGUACUGGACUUGGGAACAGAGGGAGGAAAAGAAAAACAGAAUAUUGGACAAACGUUCAUUUAAGACUACGACACAGCUUGUUUUUCCAUCAUGCUACAACACGGUAUGCUCCUCCACCAAGUAAACUUGUGCUCCAGCUCUUCUUCUUAUGCACCUGGCUCAUGUAAACACAGGAACAGAGUGAGCAAGGAUCUACAUGUUAUUAUACAUCAGGCUCCACAAAAUUUGUGACCAGUGUUGGAAUUAUGCCAACCUACAAUUAUGCAGGGUAGGUCAAGCAGCAGGUUAUAUUUUCUCAUUAAAUGAGCUUAAACCAGUGUUCCUAUGGAAGUGAACUGCUGAGUACCUUCAGGAAGAAUGCAAGCACUUAGAAAUCAUCUUAGUUGCCUUGGGAAGAAGCAGUGAUCUAGGCAAAGACGAGGCAUGGUUUGGGAGAGCAAAGAGACUGAAAAUGAGAUCUACUGGUCAACAAGUGAAGACACUGUCAUGUAUUAUUUGGUACUGGGGAAUCUUCAUAACAAUUUUUCUGGAGAUAUUUCUUCUAGCUGCGCUCAUUUCUUUUUGUAGAGAUACAUUUCUUUUUACAGAUAGUUCUGCAUAGCAGCUAAUGUUGUAUUGACCAAACGGAUAACAUCUUUCCUAGAACAGGGAUUUAAGAGGAUAUUAAUACAAUGGACAUCCAUUUUUAGUGAUUCACUGUUAAGAUUGGUUUUCCAAUAUGUAACUCAAGGUGCUUUGGUUACCUUUUAGUGAUUCACUGUUAAGAUUGGUUUUCCAAUAUGUAACUCAAGGUGCUUUGGUUACCUUUUAGUGAUUCACUGUUAAGAUUGGUUUUCCAAUAUGUAACUCAAGGUGCUUUGGUUACCUUUUAAACACUCACCCAUUUUAGCUUCAGCCAGUCACCUCCUACUGUCCUCCAUGGUUAACAGAGCAGGAAGACUCAGGUUUGCAUAUAUCCAUCCAGCACACUUCUCCCUUCCCAUUCCUACAACUCCAAUCACAGAUGUUAAACACUACAGCUCUGAUGACACGUGUUAAGUCUUCACCGAAGGACAUAUCAGGAGGAAGACUAAACAACCUCGAAAGUUUCUGUUUACUUGGAAUUGUUUGGAGUAAAUUGCUAAGAUAUUUUUUUUUCUAAAGGUGUGACCAGACUCUACCAAUCCCAACUGCCUAUAACAGGAAAAGUUUUGACUUUCCUCUCCGUGUGCAAACCAUUAAUCCAGAAAACAAUGCCUCAAUUCUUAACAUCUCUCCCUCCUCUCAAGUUGCCUGUUGCCAUUUACUCUUCAUUAACUCUUCCAGCUCUACAAAUGCAGUAAUCUUGGGGCUAUAACAUUUCUGCUGUGACCAUGGGCUGUGAGGCCACGUGCUGUUCCUGCAAUUGCAUCACAAGCACAUGAUAUAGGAAAGAAUGAGUAGAGGAAUGAAGAUAAGCAGUGGGAGAGGCAAUUCAAAAGGAGCUUAGCCUCUGAAAUGCACAGCCACAUCCUUCUAUUUUUUCUUUUGGAGGAGUUGUGAAAUAGGGAAAGGUACCGUAUGGAAAAUCAUAAUGCAGAACUUGAACAUCUUGAAGUUUGGUUGGUUUUGAUUCCAGGAUCUGGUUUGAAAAACACCUGAAUUCUUUCUGGUUGGCUUGAGGGAGAGAACAGGUUCUGGCUUUAGGUAUAAGUAACAGUGUGUGUACACAUAAGGCCUCUGUUUAUUUAGUAACUGAAGAUGGUGCGUAGUGAAAGCUAGCCUAAUUACUCUCACUUAGAACUUUAUGAGUUUUAAAUCUUCUCCUUCACUUUCCUAGUGAGAAAUCCCAGCUGAUACAAAGGAAGAUUAGCUAUCUCAUUCCAGCCUCCUUAUUCUUCUGCAAAGAUGUAAGUGACAAAAACAACAGGAAUGGACACUGAGGAACAGUAAUUGUUGGGGGGGGACGUGUCUCACGUCAUAUAAGGAUUACAAGCAUGCAUGAAAUGAGUUGGGAAGAGCACUGCACCCUAAGGAGCCUUUCACCUACAGCAUAGUUUUGAACAUCCUUGAACUGGCCUAUUUACACCAAAGAUGGGCAGGUCCCAACCAAGGCAGGAUCUUCAUUCAAGAAGAAAAUUUUAGCAUCUGUUUCACUUUAGGCCUAAGUUCCGCUGACUUCACAUAAGGUCUUGUUCAACUAAGGGCCAAAAAAGUGAUGUUUUAACCUUUUUACCCUGCAUUUAUAUUAUAUUUCAGUGACUCUGCUCUUUUUGUUCUGGCUUUCCUUUGAAAAGAACACUACAACAGACCAUUAGCAACUCUGGUUAUCAGCUGUGUUGAUGCUGUUCUUGGCAAUGAACGCAGGGAGACUGGAAAAUUAUUUUACUGAUGGAAUUUCCUCAAUACUUUUGGCAUUAGACACAAUGGAGUGAACAUGACUUUGACGUACUAAAUUCAUUGGGAUAUUUGUUUAAGACCAACCCUUCAUGACUCCUGAAUGCACCUCAAUCAAGAGGGGAUGGGCUGGAAGCUCAGUAAUUAACUUUUAAAAGGAAAAAUGUCCUUUUUAUUUUCAGGAAUAUAUACAGCCUUAGGAUCUAUAAAGGCAAUAGGUUGACAAACUAAGGAUUUUUCAUUAUUAGGACAGACAUGGUCCAUCAAACACUCGAUACUUUUGAUAUAAUAUCAGCCAAAAUAUAAUCAACUUCCUAGUGCUGUAUGUGUUUUGAAGUCACAGAACUGCAUGCUGUAAUCCUUUAAGAAACAGAGAAAUCGCUCUGUAAAUGUAACAGGAUUGAAUUGCUUUUUGUCUUAAAACUGUCUCUACCUCCUCCUACUACCUCCUGCUUCUUGCACUAAGCAAAGGAGUGGCAGCUACAACUCUGAUUUCAAAAGAGAACGGCAUGAAGAGCUAUCAAUUAGAGACUGGUCUAAGACCGGACUAAACAAUGACUGAAAUUUAAUGGUAACCAAUUUUCACUCACUUUCCUGAAAAUGACUAGAGUUUGGAGCAGUGGAAUUUCCCCGAAGCAGAACAAAAACCUUGAGAUGAAUGUGAGAGGUCUUAUAUUAUUGAAUGUCUGAGGAUAGCAAGAGGGGCAAGAGGAAGCAAAUUUUGGCCAUACAGAAGUCUGACUACAAACUCAACUAAGAUCAAAUAAAAUUUAUUUGGAGGGCAGUGAGUCAACGAUUAAGAGAUCAGCUGCGGGUAAAAGAUCUUGUACAUGCUGCAGUACAGGUAGCUGCAGUAACGGUACAACCUUUAAUUCCCCAGGAAGCCAGACUUUGAUGUCUCCAGAAGUCCUAGCCAGUCCUGUCCAGGGCCACACAAGGCCCACAGUGUCCCACCACACAUGUGCCUUCUCAAACUGGAGUAGUGACUCUGCCUCUUCCUCCUACUCCUCCCUCCUCACGUUGCCUGACCCACAUCUCCCUAGGGCAGAGGAUACCAGUUGAGAAAGGAGCAAUUUACCCAGUUUCCCAGUAGCUGGGAUUCUCACAAGAUGUGAGCCAAUGUACAGACAGCAGGUCCAUAGCUGUGGCUUCAGCUGUUCCACAGCAAUUUCUAUCUGCAGGUGCCUAGGCUGAGGGACACACAAAGUACCAAAAAAAAAGUGGGGGGAGGAGGGCAGGGGGCGGCAAGUCUCCAUGAAUGUGCAUACUGUCAAGUUGGUAGCCAGAUAUAAUUUGGUGAGUGGGAGACAUGGCCUACAGGACUGACAGAAGAUCAGGAAUCCAGGUAGUCACCUGUAUUGAUUACACCUGGAGCUGCCAGAAAUUAAUGAAAUUGAUCCAUGUCCUGGAAGAAAGUCCUUGGAUGAUCUUGAACAUUUUACAGCUCCUUCCCUUUCCCAUACCACCAAACCCUCCUACCACAGGCAAACAAGGCAGCUAGGAUGCAGGAAUCAUUCUCAGAGAGUGCUCCCAGCCGGUGUGGGAAAGGAGAUCUGGCAAUCCAUGCAGGCUUUUGCAAUAUCAUUCAAUAUAGACUCCUCCCACCCACCUCCCUGCCAUGAAGCUUUUUGUGCUAUCUAAAAGAGGAAAUGUGUUGACAAGUUUUAGCAAAGUCUGACUGGGGUUGCUGUAAAUCCAGAGCACACAUUGGCUUGCAGCUCCUGCAGAGCAGAUGGUGACGCUGGGGGUGGUGAUGAAAAAGCAGCGCCGGAGCUCUUUCACUCCUCCUGGGAGAGAGGCUGUGCCAAGAACAUGUAAUUAAGGGACAAAGGGAAAAGCCAGCAGUAAAAUCCCCAUCUACCUGGGGAAGCUUAGAGCCAAGUGGGCUCAGUAUAGGGCCCAAAUGCAUCAGGUCAGGCACCAUCUAGUUCUCUGACAGACGCGCUCAUUCUAAAAACACUGGGCUGCUUUCUGUUACUUGCAGCAAGUUAAAAAAAGUAACCACAAGAAGCAGAGUGAAAGAAAUGCCAACGCUGUAUUUAAAGGGCUGUAGACACAGAAUAGGGGGGUUUUCCCCUCUGCUCACAAGUGCUAGGAGCAUUAUGUAAACUUAUUUUGUAAGUAGCACACUGAUCUCCUGGCACUGAAAAAAAAAAAAGGAUGUUGUCUGCAAAAAUGGGAGAGCCAGGAAUGUACCAUUACAGGAAUGGGUCUUGCCAAAGCAAGCAAAGUCCAAACAUCCCACACUUCCCAAAUUAUCUUUCUUUCCUGUCUAAUGCACUGUAAAUGAAAUUCAGUUGGACUUUGACAUUAUUGUGGACUGGAUUCAAUCCCAUUUAUAUUGUACAUAGAUAGGAACAGAUGAUAAAAUUAUAUUGUUUGAACAAAUAGCUCACUUCCUUUGCAAUAAUUCUUAUGAUUGUUAACGUAUUAAUAAUUAUAAUCAUGCAUUGCAUUUAUAAUAGCGCCUUUCUUCAGCAGGAAUCCUAAUGCUCUUAUGAACUGAAGUGAUUGUACUGUGUGUACGCUAUCUUAACUGAAAACACAUCCGACAACACAGAUCUCCGUGUAAGUCAUGCUUUAGAACAUAAGGAGGUUAAAUUUCCUACUAAUCCAUUGCAUUUUCAGUACCUUUUUUUAUUGUUAAGCAUGCCUCUGCUCAUUCUUCCACAGAGCUUAUAAAAUGCUUUCCACGAAAAUAAACAUGUAAGAAAUCUGUGGCAUUAGGCAAUCUUCCUAGGGGAACUCUUUGUUUCUUUUCAGUGCUGCAGUCAUUCCGGUUACGUUUGAUUUCCCUUGAUUUUCGAAAAAACAAGACAAAAAUCAGUGGCGGAAAAAAGCCUCCUUAAUGAACAAUACCAGUAUUUCAAUGGUUCCAUUCGGCCAUUCCUGUUGACACUCUGGGUGUGCAGAAAACAUGAGGUAAGCCCUCACUGCCCAGUCUUGAGUGAAGCAGGAAGGUGCAUGCUGUUUUUACUCAAGAAGGUAUGUGAGGUCAAUCCUGGGAAAAACACUCUUAAAAGUAGCUCAUGCUGCUUAAUGUCAUUAGACUAUACAGCCUGGCAAUUUAGGCUAGGUAUA